CAAUCACUUGUCCUUUAAAUUAGGACCUGUAUGAAUGGCAAGACGAGGGCUUAACUGUCUCUUUCUUAUAAUCAGUGAAAUUGAUCCCCCCGUGAAGAAGCGGGGAUAAACCCAUAAGACGAGAAGACCCUGUGGAGCUUAAAACAUAAGGAGGGAGUAUAUCAAGUUAAUUAAAGACUAGUAAUACCGGCCCUCCCCCUGUUUUUGGUUGGGGCGACCGCGGAAGAAAGCCUAUCUUCCAUGAAGAUUAAAAGUACAGACUUUUACAGACAAGAACCACCGUUCUAGUAAACAGAACAUCUGACCUCCUGAUCCGGCUAGCCGAUCAACGAACCGAGUUACCCCAGGGAUAACAGCGCAAUCCUCUUUUAAAGCCCA
rnacentral:rRNA from 1 species